rnacentral:rRNA from 1 species
AACGAACGCUGGCGGCGCGCCUAAUACAUGCAAGUCGAGCGAGAAGACGUAGCAAUACGUUUGUAAAGCGGCGAACGGGUGAGGAAUACAUGGGUAACCUACCCUCGAGUGGGGAAUAACUAGCCGAAAGGUUAGCUAAUACCGCGUACGCUCCUUGGACUUCGGUUCAGGGAGGAAAGCGAUACCGUGGGUAUCGCGCUCUUGGAUGGGCUCAUGUCCUAUCAGCUUGUUGGNGAGGUAACGGCUCACCAAGGCUUCGACGGGUAGCUGGUCUGAGAGGACGAUCAGCCACACUGGCACUGCGACACGGGCCAGACUCCUACGGGAGGCAGCAGUAAGGAAUAUUGCGCAAUGGGCGAAAGCCUGACGCAGCGACGUCGCGUGGGGGAUGAAGGUCUUCGGAUU